rnacentral:rRNA from 1 species
GAUGAACGCUAGCGGCAGGCCUAAUACAUGCAAGUCGAACGGUGUCUUCGGACAUAGUGGCGCACGGGUGCGUAACACGUAUGCAACCUACCUUACAUUGGGGGAUAGCCUUUCGAAAGGGAGAUUAAUACCGCAUAAGACAGUAGCUGGGCAUCCAGCGGCUGGUAAAGAUUUAUCGAUGUAAGCUGGGCAUGCGUCCAAUUAGCUAGUUGGUGAGGUAACGGCUCACCAAGGCAAUGAUUGGUAGGGGAACUGAGAGGUCAAUGCCCCACACUGGCACUUAGAUACGAGCCAGACUCCUACGGGAGGCAGCAGUAGGGAAUAUUGGGCAAUGGACGCAAGUCUGACCCAGCCAUGCCGCGUGCAGGAUGAAGGCGUUAUGCGUUGUAAACUGCUUUUGUACGGAACGAAAAGCCCUGGGUUAAUACCCUGGGGUCAUGACGGUACCGUAAGAAUAAGCACCGGCUAACUACGUGCCAGCAGCCGCAGUAAUAC